rnacentral:rRNA from 1 species
CCUACGGGUGGCAGCAGUGAGGAAUAUUGGUCAAUGGGCGCGAGCCUGAACCAGCCAAGUAGCGUGAAGGAUGACUGCCCUACGGGUUGUAAACCUCUUUUAUAAAGGAAUAAAGUGAGGCACGUGUGCCUUUUUGUAUGUACUCGAUGAAUAAGGAUCGGCUAACUCCGUGCCAGCAGCCGCGGUAAUACGGAGGAUCCGAGCGUUAUCCGGAUUUAUUGGGUUUAAAGGGAGCGUAGGCCGCAUGUCAAGCGUGCUGUGAAAUGUACGGGCUCAACCCGGGCCUUGCAGCGGAAACUGGCGUUCGUGAGUCCGCGGAAAGCAUGCGGAAUGCGUCGUGUAGCGGUGAAAUGCUUAGAUAUGACGAAGAACCCCGAUUGCGAAGGCAGCUUGCUGGAGCGGAACUGACGCUGAUGCUCGAAAGCGCGGGUAUCGAACAGGAUUAGAUACCCCAGUAGUC